ACGUAUUGCGUAAUAUUAUUGACUGUCUAGGGUUGAAAUUGAACAUCGCGCGCUGUCAAUCUAAUUAUUGUCAAACAAGCUGUUCAAUAAAAUUGAAACGUAAUAUUGACUAUAAAAUGGCUCGUCUAGGCGGCCGGUAUGGUCGCUGUAGUCCAUGGCC